GAUGAACGCUGGCGGCGUGCCUAAUACAUGCAAGUCGAGCGAACAGACGAGGAGCUUGCUCCUCUGACGUUAGCGGCGGACGGGUGAGUAACACGUGGAUAACCUACCUAUAAGACUGGGAUAACUUCUGGAAACCGGAGCUAAUACCGGAUAAUAUAUUGAACCGCAUGGUUCAAUAGUGAAAGACGGUUUUGCUGUCACUUAUAGAUGGAUCCGCGCCGCAUUAGCUAGUUGGUAAGGUAACGGCUUACCAAGGCGACGAUGCGUAGCCGACCUGAGAGAGUGAUCGGCCACACUGGAACUGAGACACGGUCCAGACUCCUACGGGAGGCAGCAGUAGGGAAUCUUCCGCAAUGGGCGAAAGCUUGACGGAGCAACGCCGCGUGAGUGAUGAAGGUAUUCGGAUCGUAAAACUCUGUUAUUAGGGAAGAACAAAUGUGUAAGUAACUAUGCACGUAUUGACGGUACCUAAUCAGAAAGCCACGGCUAACUACGUG
rnacentral:rRNA from 1 species